rnacentral:rRNA from 1 species
GACGAACGCUGGCGGCGUGCCUAAUACAUGCAAGUAGGACGCAGUUGCGAACGGGUGAGUAACGCGUAUGUAACUGCCUAUUAGAGGGGGAUAACUAUUGGAAACGAUAGCUCAUACCGCAUACUAGUAGAUGGACCUGCUUUGUAUUAGCUAGUAGGUAGGGUAAUGGCCUACCUGGGCGACGAUGCAUAGCCGAGCUGGGAGGGGGAUGGGCCAAACUGGGACUGAGACACGGCGAAGAAUACUAGGGGAGGCAGCAGUAGGGAAUUUGCGGGAAUGGGGGGAACCCUGACCGAGGAACGCCGAGGGAGUGAAGAAGGUUUUCGGAGCGUAAAGCUCUGUUGUUAAGGGAGCGGUACUUAACCAGAAAGGGACGGCUAACUACGUGCCAGCAGCCGCGGUAAUAC